rnacentral:lncRNA from 1 species
AGGGAAAGCAGAUAUUUUCUUCUCCAAUACUCUUCAAACACUCAUUUCUCAUCCCUGAGACCCAGACCCCCUGACUUUCUCACUCUUCUCUGAAUCUCCUGCUUCUCUUGCAUAUUUUGUUCUCAUAUUCUCCGCUUUCAUCCAUUAAAUACUUCUUUUUCUUUUUCCUUGUCCCUUUUCUCCACCUCACAGUCAGCCUAAUCAUGGCACAGACAACUAGAGGGAGAUUGUUCCACUCCCUUUCUGAAAUUUCUGAAAUCCAUCUACAGAAUCGAGGUCGGUAAUCCUCAUCUUUGUCCAUGUUUCCUAAGUCACAAGGACAAGCAGAAAAAGGAAAAGAUAACACCUGUGUGGUUCCCCCAGAAGAAGGAGUAAGAUAUACACAUCUCUGAAGUCCCGGCCAUGAAAUGGAUAGAAAUGGCAGAAUUCAAGCUGGAGUUUUACAAGUUGAAUGUACAGUGGCUCCUAACCUCUUCCCAAAGGGCAGAUGAUCCUUUAUUCUUAAGGGAAAGUGAGCCUCACUGAAGUUGCAGGUACCUUGCCCAAGGUCACACAAUCAUCUUCCCUUUCCUGUGAGCGAUUCUCCGUGACAUCUCAGAAUGAGUAGGACCUCCUGUGUGAGCAGACGUUUGGAAAAGCCACAAGGGAUGAGUGUCAUUACACAAAUCUGCAGGGCCAUGGGUCAUAUUGAAAUGUGAACAUAUCCUAUGGUCCCAGUGUUGGGAGUACAUGAAGAGUGGAAGAGAAAGGAAGUGUGAAAUGGAGGAAGCCAGAAAUCAAUCUGAAGAAAAUUCUCCCAACAACAGUUGUGCAAACUUUCAGUUUCUCAUCAAUGAUUUUCUUUGCAAAGAUGCCUGGUCAAGAUGGACCUUCUCUCCUGACCAGAAUAUACUGCAGCAUAUACAGUUAUAAACACAUCAUACAUUAUUUUUCCAUUUUGAUGGGGACUAUGAGAAAUAAAAUACUAGACUUAUCAGAAUUCCUAUGAUUGUAGAGCACAAACUGGAAGCAGCAGUAAAAGCUAUGUGUAUUAAGCCACUGUAUUCAUCUAAACUAGGAGUAGUACAAAAUUUCAAUCAACUAUGCUAAAGGAGAGAGCGAGCUAUCUUUCUAUUCUCUCUGUAGAAAAUACUACAAAAUCAUUUUAACAUGAAAAGGCAAAGAGUAUGCAGUCAAAAACGUAGGAAGACAGCAUAGUGGUAUGUCAAGCAGUCAGUUAAUAAAAAUAUGUCAUUUUUCUUUUCUUUUUUUUUUGAGGAAGAUUGGCCCUGGGCUAACAUCUGUGCCCAUCUUCUUCUACUUUAUAUGUGGGUCACCUGCCCCAACAUGGCUUGACAAGCAGUGCGUAGGAUCCGAACUGGCAAAUCCUAGGCUGCCAAAGCAGUGUGUGCGAACUUAACUGCUCCGCCAUCAGGCCAGCCCCUGUCAUUUUUCUUGAUUUUGUGAUACUUGUCGUAUUGGUCACAUUUUUAGAAGUUAUUUUUUGGGAUUUCUUUUCACUUUCUAAAUAAAUCCUCAGUUGUUGCUUAAUUCUUCCAAUUGCAGAAGCUUCAUGUUUCCCUAAACCCCAUUUGCUCUGCUCCCUAAGUCUAUGCCUCGCUAACAGGCACAAAUGAUUCUGCAAAUUCCUGUCUGCUGUUCAAAGUGACGUCAGGCGCUUUGUCUCCUGGGUAUGAGGAGCAAUUGUAGAUUUGCUCUAACAACAAAUAGGUAAGAGUUAUGAACAUGCCUUUCUUUUCUUCAGCAGAGUUAAACAAGGGCUCACUCUCUGGAUUUCCAGAUGCACUUAAAAUGAAAUAAUAAUGUUAGGCCAGUCUUGCCCUGCUUUAAAUUAAUCAUUCCAGGAAGAGACAUUAAACUUUUCAGACCACCAAUGUGCACAAAUGCUUUAGUGCCCCAGACCAUACACUCUCUCUUGAUUAUUUGGGACACAAGGAAAGGUAAGCUCAGUAAAUGAGGUUGUUUUAUGAUCAAUUUAAGUAAUCUGAAAAGGAAAUUAAUACUUUUAUUACUUUCUAUAAGUGAAAAACUUCCUUAAAAAUCUAUAAGAGUUCUUUAUGUUAUAGUAGCUAGGACUCUCUGAGCCAAAUAAUGGAUCCAGAGAAAUAACAGAAAGUUAGGGAAUGGAUGCAUGGCCCCACAAAUCAAAAUGGAAUAGACAAGAAAAACUGGAAACUAAUCUGGGGCUAAAGAAAAUCAAUACUAAUGGAGAGAAGCAAAUUCACUUAAUUAGAAAUCAGGCUGUGAUUUAAAAAUAAAGUAUUUCUUAGUCUUUCUGAAUAGUAAGAAUGUUUGCUGGGGCUACUGCAAGGAUGGGAAGGGAGUCUGGAGAAAACAUGGAGAGCGUUUGUGACCCUCUACUCCACAUUAGUACUCUCAGUACUUAUUAUGUGAGAAAAAAAUCUCUUUCAAACACUUGUCUCAAACUUUAAGUGCUCACAGCCAUCCAGUAAAGAAAGUAAAAAUAUCCUAAUUGAACAGAAAAGGAAACUAAGUUUACUUCUCUGCCCUCAUUUUUUACCUCUUUCUGCCUCAACCAGCUCCAGCCAUGCUGGCUUUUGUUCUGUUUCUGAAACACCAAACAUACUCCGGUCUCUGAGCCUUUGAAUUAGCUCUUCCUUCUGCCUAGGACAUUCCUCCUAGAUUCUACAUGGCUCACUCCCUUACUCUACUUAGAUCUCUGUUCAAAUGUCACCCUAUCGAGAAUCCCUACUCCAUAACUUUGUCCCCUUACCCCGUUUUAUUUUUCUUCUUAGUAUGUCACGGAGUUUUUGUUGCUCCUAAUUGUCUUCAAGAGCUAAUGGACAUUUGGAGAUAGAACUUGAUCACUGCAUAGCUCAAAAGGAACACAGCAAAUAGCUUUGCUCUACAACUGGUCAUACAAAUGUUGGUUUCCAAUUUGAUGCCUUGCAGUAUCUUACAUGAGAGAUUUUCAAACAAAGCUCACAAUGAACUCUUAACUGGUUGUACAUGGUCAAAUUCUUCUACUAGAUGGACUAUUUAUUUCUUUAAAUACUGGCAUUUAUAUGACUCAAGGUCCCAGUAGGUAUCAGUUGGCAUACUCGAAUUAAGAAAACUCUAGGAUUUUUUAAGUAAGGGACAGUUUACAUGGUGUAUUAGUUUCCGAGAGCUGCUGUCCAACAAACUAGGUGGCUGAAACAGAAGAAAUUUAUUGUCUCACAGUUGUGGAGGCCAAAAGUCCAAGACCAAGAGGUAAGCAGGUUUGGUUUCUUCUGAGGCCUGUGAAGGAGGAUCUGUUCCAGGCCCCUCUCCUAGCUUCUGGCGGUUUGCUGACAAUCUUUGGCAUCCUUUGGCCUGUGCAUGCAUCACCCCGAUCUCUACCUUCAUUUUUAUGUGGUGUUCUUCCUGUGUGCAUGUGUCCAUGUCCAAAUUCUUCUUUUUUUCUAAGGACACAGUCAUAGCAGAUUAGGGCCCAUCCUAACAAUCUCAUGGUAACUUGAUCAUCUGCAAAGAUCCUAUUUCCAAUUAAGGUCACAUUCAC